UGGGGAAUAUUGCACAAUGGAGGGAACUCUGAUGCAGCGACGCCGCGUGAACGAAGAAGGCUUUCGAGUCGUAAAGUUCUUUUAUAUGGGAAGAUAAUGACGGUACCAUAAGAAAAAGCCCCGGCUAACUACGUGCCAGCAGCCGCGGUAAUACGUAGGGGGCUAGCGUUGUCCGGAAUCACUGGGCGUAAAGGGUUCGCAGGCGGAAAUGCAAGUCAGGUGUAAAAGGCAGUAGCUUAACUACUGUAAGCAUUUGAAACUGCAUAUCUUGAGAAGAGUAGAGGUAAGUGGAAUUUUUAGUGUAGCGGUGAAAUGCGUAGAUAUUAAAAAGAAUACCGGUGGCUAAGGCGACUUACUGGGCUCAUUCUGACGCUGAGGAACGAAAGCGUGGGUAGCAAACAGG
rnacentral:rRNA from 1 species